rnacentral:rRNA from 1 species
CCGUUUCUUUUCUCCCCCUCUUCCUCGCAGAAGGAGCGGCAAGUAAUCCGGUCGAAUUGAUAGGGGAGACGAGGAGCAGCGAUGGCCGCCGCUCGAGCCCGAUGGCGGUUCCUCGCGCUGCCCCUCGCGCUGCUCCUCGCGAUCGGCUCGUCGCGCGGCCUCGACGCGGCGCCCAAGCCCCCCGUCCCCAAGGCCAUCUCCGACCUGAGGGAGGCGAUCGUCAAGGGGCUGGGGCUCCAGUCGGAGGAGCUCAAGGUGUCCGGGUUCGACGUGAGGGACGCGCUGGUGGGGCAUGCGGUGGCGUACGAGUUCGACAUGGAGGUCGGGAGGAAGGCCGUGCCGGUGCGACUGCUCGAGGACGUCAACCGGUGGGACUUCGUCGACCUGCCCAUCUUCCGGUCCCAGGCCGACGCCGACGACACGGCGCUCGCCGAGAUCGGGCGGGGGAGCUUCGACCCCACGCUGCCGCCCUUCCAGCUCGCCGGGCCCAUGGAGCUCUGGAUCCAGGACGGCGACGACGUCAGGCUCGCGUUGCCGCAUGAUGUCGAAGCUGGAACCCUGAAGAAAGUUGUUCUUGCUGAUGGUGCGGUGGUAACAGUGAAAGGUGCUAGGGCGGUGAGCCUCCGUUUGCCCCUCGAACUACCACUUCCUCUCAACCGCACCACAUACAAGGGCCGCCUGUCUAGCUUGCUUUCCAUUGCUCGAGCCCUACGCGGUGCAGCUCGGUCUAAUCAGAAACCCCUGAUGUCCCUCCGGAUCGAGGGUCCAACCUCAUUAUCCUCAACCCCUUCCAUGUCUCCGAAUGACAAGCUCAAGCUCAAAAGGUUGGCCCCAGGUCAAGUGGAGCUCUCCUCGCGUGCGAUCCCUGCUGUCACAGACGAUGAGGAUGAAUCACCUAGCCCCGGAUUGUGGCCCUUUUUGUCAUUGAAUGCAUCGGAUGGCAGCCUGCAGGGGCUUGAAGAACUACUGGCGAAGGUUUUGGGCAAGAAGGCGGGUGAGAAGGGCACGUUCAAGUUGGUGAAUGCACGGGCCUCGGCACAAACAUAUGUCAAAAUGGGAUUCACGGUGGAGAAGCGGAUUGCUGAUGGAGAGGUGAACUGGUCUAACUUGCCUGAGUGGAAAACAAAGCCCAAGAAGUUGAGAGCGCACUAUGAAGUUCUUGCUCGUGUGGAGCGUGGCCAGGCGAUCCCGGAAAGGAUCGCCCAGGUGCAGCCUUUCCAGGUCGACGAGGCCAUGUCCGAGAGCAUGCUCACCGGAAACGUGUCUAGAUCGAAGAUGGAGGUAGUAAACCCCCCACCGGUUUUUUUCACUUUGUGAGACUGUGAGGGGCUGGAAGCUUUUUAUUUCCAAAGUUCUACUUGGGAUGGAUGUGGCAAAAAGUACUGAUUUUAUGCAAUGGAGCCGGGGAGCCUUCCUGUUGUUCUAAAAAAAGUACUGAUUUCUGAGCCAACAUGGAACCUGUGUUAUACUGGCUAGCUUUGUAAAUUACGGGCGCGAACAAGGAGGGCUUACAGUGAAGUGCAGCAAUAAGCAAAUUGUAUGUACACAGUAGACAUCUCAAAGCAAAGCAAAAGCGCUCAGAGCAUGGGAUGGCCGUUUUGGCUCUGGGUACCUUGAUGAACAGUAAAUUCAAACCAAAUCGUAGUUUUAAAAAUUCUUAUCUUUUUUGUAGAUGUUUCAUGUUAGUGUAACUUGAAUCUAUAUCUAUACUACUAUUAAAAGAGCAAACAUAAAUUUCCCUAAAGCCACACAACAAACCGUACACAGGAUAACCAGGACCUUCUGAUCAGAUUAACUUAAAUACAUCCCACGGUCUAUAUUACGCCAAAGAUUUGUCAUUCAGAUCAACGUCUCGGAUGCAAUGUUCUGCCGAGCAGACGCCGUCGUCUGCCAAUCGUGGGAGCGCUUCGCGUCACCCAAUCCCGGCGGCCUCGCCCGCAGCUCCUGUUUUUUGGAUCGUGACUUCUUUCUCUAGGCGCCAGAUAGAGAAACUUGAGCGCUCCUUCCUUCCCCUCCUGCCGUGCGCUUCCCACUGAUCCGCCCCCACGUCGACCCCGUCUCCGGUCGAUGCCCGUGCUCCUGCAAGCCGCCGCCGACCUCCUAUGCCGGUCAGCCGUGCCCAACUCCCCUCCUCCUCCCUUCUCUCCCCCUCUCCUCACUAAUCUCUCCUCUCUCUUCGUUCCCACGAUGCAGAACGCCAUGGCCAUGGACCAAAGCUCCGCUGGUCCCUCCCUCGCGACUGCCAGUCUUCCUCCCGACCAGAUCGACGACGGCGAUGACCAGAUCUGCCCCGCUGCCGUUCGUUUCCAAGGGACGUCCGCAGAUGGGGUUUCUUCCUCUCAGCCUCCACCACCUGCGGGCUCACCGGUGAUUGGACCUGCUCAGCAUGCAGGAUUGCGUGCUUCCUGGCGAGGUGGUCGUGUCUUGCCCGACGCGCCCUCGGCAGUCGAGUCUUUUUCCACGGUGCCCCAUCCUCCAGUAGCUCUGUCGCCAUUUGCACCACCGUGCGCCACUGCCCGCUCGCGUGAACCAUCCAGCCAUCCUCCCUGGCGCUGCAAUCUGUGAGUAUGUUGGUGCAUUGCCGAGGACUGGAGAGAAAAGGUCAGGGUCUGAUAUGCAUAUGCCAGCACUUCAUGUUGAGAACAAUUCCGAGGCACCAUCGGCACCGGAGUACUGCAUCGAUGCUGGAUCCGUUGGAAGUUUCGCAAGGUUCAUAAACCACAGCUGCAACCCUAACCUCUUUGCCCAGUGUGUCCUAACCAAUCACCACGACAUCAAGCUAGAAAAGGUGAUGCUUUUUGCUGCCGACACGGUACUUCCACUUCAGGUAGCACCUAACGUCGACAACUGCGAUGUCAGGAACUCCCUCACAAUUGCCGAAUAUGUCGCUGAAAUUACAACUUCUACAGACAGACCAAGGAGUUGAGUUGUGAGGCCCCCACCUACAUGACACACCAAACUGAUAUCAAUGAGAAAAGGCGUAGUAUUCCCAUUGACUGGUUGACUGAGGUGCAAUACAAGCUUGAGCUACUAGGUGAAACACUAUUCCUUGCUGUCAACAUCAUUGAUAGAUCAAUGCAUAGAAAAACAUGUCUCGAGUUUUCUCUUGAAUGAAACCUGCAAGUUUCUCAACUAUUUAGUGAAGCUUACCUUGAAAAGAACUAUAAAUACUACAGGAAGGAGAGCAAGACAAUGACAGUUCGUUGGAAUAUGGAUUUUUAGAGGAUAUUUAUGGGUUCAAACCUCUGUAAUUACAUAUUACUUUCCUUGCUGAUGCUAUUGCUCAUGUUAUAAAACUGUCCUACUUCGCACACAUGGUUUUCAGCAAAGAAAACAGUGUCAUGAUUUAUAAAGUACACUUAUAAACAAAAGAAACCAUUUUAUCACUCCUGCAGUCCACAAGAAAGAGAAAAAAGAACUUCCACCAUAAUCUUUGUCUUCCUACUUUUACUGACCAAUAAAAAC